rfam:Corynebacterium durum F0235 genomic scaffold Scfld66, whole genome shotgun sequence.
GAAAAAUAUAUGCCUAAUCAACCCAGUGUAGUGGCUGGGGAGAACCGGGGAACCAGAUUCCCAUCUGGGGUGAAUCCUUUCGGAGAGCACCAGAGACGGUGUGGACGUGAGGUAGGUGGCUUCCGCUUCCGAAUCCGACAGCUAACCCGGUAGGCGAACAACAGGAAGAUUU